CACUAUGGUCCCAAUUCCGUUUUUUUUGGCAUAAAGUCGUAGGAACAAGAGGCAGUUCCAUUAUUUAGGGCAUAUCUCCAGUUACAAAUAACCAAUUCCUUCGUUUCAUAUAUCGAAUUAAAGGCAAUUAAGUGAUGGAUAAAUGUCUUAAAACUUUUUUAACGUUUCGAAGUCCGUUUGAAAAGUACCAAAUGCAAAAACUGUCUUCAAAGUAGUGUAUUUUUCAUUUAUUAACUUAUUUUAAAUAAAGUUUACAAAAAAAACCAUAGUAA
rnacentral:lncRNA from 1 species